UACGAAGGGGGCUAGCGUUGUUCGGAUUUACUGGGCGUAAAGCGCACGUAGGCGGACUUUUAAGUCAGGGGUGAAAUCCCAGAGCUCAACUCUGGAACUGCCUUUGAUACUGGAAGUCUUGAGUAUGGUAGAGGUGAGUGGAAUUCCGAGUGUAGAGGUGAAAUUCGUAGAUAUCGGGAGGAACACCGGUGGCGAAGGCGGCGACCUGGUUCGAUACUGACACUGAGGUGCGAAAGGCGUGGGGAGCAAACAGG
rnacentral:rRNA from 1 species